rnacentral:tRNA from 1 species
UCCCUGGUGGUCCAGUGGUUAAGACUCUGUCUUCCAAUGCAGGGGGUUCAGGUUCAGACCCUGGUUGGGGAA